rnacentral:lncRNA from 1 species
GAGGCGGGUGGAGGCGGGGGUUCCUCACUUCAGACAGCUCAGCGCGGGGCCCGAGGCCCAGCCCCAUGCCCACAGCUCCUCCAGACCCUGGGUGAGCCGGACCCCGGUGAGCGCGGGCCCCUUGCCUGCAGGCCCCAACCACUGGCAACAUUGUGCUGCUGGCGCAGCCGAGCUGCCUGGCGCCCCCCACCUCCGCUCCCCACGCCAGCGUGCUGAUGCUGCUGAUAGUGGUAGUGCCCAUCCCGGUGCUGUGGAGGGCAGGGGGCCCAGACAGACACCAUGAGAUGCAGGCCACCUGCAGCGUGGUGUACGACCCCUGCCUUGUGCAGGGCCCGGCGCCGGCGGGUGGCCAAAUGCCUUGAGGGAGCAGAGCAGAGCGAUGCGCAGUCACCCUCCACGCUGGUGCAGGGCCCCCAGAGGAAGCAGGGCUUUACCAACAAAAUGAUCCCCCGCCCCGGACCUCCUAGGGACCCGAGUCCUCCAGGCCCUUUGGGGCUGCUCUGAAAGAAGGGUGAGCCAGGCAAGCCGGGCCCUCGGUGUCUGCGGACGCGGGGACAGCGGCGCCAUCAGCACGGCCACCUACAUCACGGUGCCGUGCGUCGUCUUCUACCUCAGUUUCAAUAAAUCCCACACGAAUGUUAGGAUGUGCUGAAGUCUGACG